rnacentral:rRNA from 1 species
UACGAAGGGGGCUAGCGUUGUUCGGAAUUACUGGGCGUAAAGCGCACGUAGGCGGACUAUUAAGUCAGGGGUGAAAUCCCGGGGCUCAACCCCGGAACUGCCUUUGAUACUGGUAGUCUCGAGUCCGGAAGAGGUGAGUGGAAUUCCGAGUGUAGAGGUGAAAUUCGUAGAUAUUCGGAAGAACACCAGUGGCGAAGGCGACUUACUGGACACAUAUUGACGCUGAGGUGCGAAAGCGUGGGGAGCAAACAGG